CACAACUACUUAGCUAUGCCCGAUGCAACAAAAAUCGCGCCGUCCUCAAACCUCAACAAUGAAACGUACUGUUCAUCAGUCAGUCAGUCAGUCUUCUGUCCGCGAGCUUCGUUGUCCAGAAAGUGUGCUAGACGUGUCUCACCUACACCAGUUUUGGAACCAGGUUGCUAAUUAAAUUACGCUUCAUUGCACUCCGGACAAUAAUAAAUCCUAUUCUGACUCAGAUCAGCAACAUCAACCGUGUUGUCUUCGCUCUGCUUCAUUGCCUCAUCUUGCUGCCUAGGUGUCUUGUUUUCGUAAAUUUCGUUAUCGAAUUGUUAGUAAAUUUUUCGGCAAAACAAUGUGUCUCAACUGUGGAACCGUCAUUGUAUGUUGUAUAAUUUUUGCGAUCGCUGUCGCCGUAGCCAUCUACUACGGCAUCUUCAACGUAGAUGACUCAGCUCCGGAAGUCGGCGAGUUCAUCAAAAAGACUGGAAACAGCAUCAAAUCCGGCAUCAAAGAAGGGAUCAAGAAACUAGAUGACUGAUUUUUAGACGACUAGAUAAAGUCUACUAAUUCCGAAAUAUGUCACAAUUCUCUCUUUUAACGAAAAGUGCUAUUGAUUUUUAUGUUUAGUUUUAGAGUUAAAUUGAAAUUCAUACUCGUAUUGAUAAGUGAUAGAAAACAUUGUCAUAUGAAGUUUUAAAUCUAUUUAUUCUGAUUAAAUUGUGUAACAGCAGGAAUGUGAUGAUCAACGAAAAUGAAGUAAACCUGUUUUAAAAAAGUGAAA